rnacentral:rRNA from 1 species
CGAUGCAACGCGAAAAACCUUACCCACCUUUGACAUGUACGGAAUCCUUUAGAGAUAGAGGAGUGCUCGAAAGAGAGCCGUAACACAGGUGCUGCAUGGCUGUCGUCAGCUCGUGUCGUGAGAUGUUGGGUUAAGUCCCGCAACGAGCGCAACCCUUGUCAUUAGUUGCUACAUUCAGUUGGGCACUCUAAUGAGACUGCCGGUGACAAACCGGAGGAAGGUGGGGAUGACGUCAAGUCCUCAUGGCCCUUAUAGGUGGGGCUACACACGUCAUACAAUGGAUGGUACAAAGGGUCGCCAACCCGCGAGGGGGAGCCAAUCCCAUAAAGCCAUUCGUAGUCCGGAUCGCAGUCUGCAACUCGACUGCGUGAAGUCGGAAUCGCUAGUAAUCGUGGAUCAGAAUGUCACGGUGAAUACGUUCCCGGGUCUUGUACACACCGCCCGUCACACCAUGGGAGCGGGUUCUGCCAGAAGUAGUUAGCCUAACCGCAAGGAGGGCGAUUACCACGGCAGGGUUCGUGACUGGGGUGAAGUCGUAACAAGGUAGCCGUAUCGGAAGG